GUUUCACUGUGUUAGCCAGGAUGGUCUCGAUCUCCUGACCUUGUGAUCCACCUGCCUCGGCCUCCCAAAGAGACUUUCCUAUUCUUCUAACAGGCUGCUAUUCAAGAAUAUCCCUAUUCCUAGACACUGUUCCACCUGAUCCCCUUAGCAGGGCUUUAGUCUUUAAAGAUAGCUCCUGAUUGAAAACUGCAUCUUGUUAAUAUGGUUAUUAAAAAGUGCUUAUCACUUUUAACAAGAGUUUAUAUUGAGUCCUUACUAUAUGCCAAGUGCUCUAAAUGCACAAUACACAGCAUUGCUUACUCCUCUCAACAACUUAAUCAAGUAGGUAUGAUUAUUAUCCCCAUUUUGCAGAUGAAGAAACUGAGAUACACAGGUUAAAUUCUCUAAGGAAACUACAGGCUGGGCAGGGUGGCUCAAACCUGUAAUCCCAGCACUUCAGGAGGCUGAGGUGGGUGGACUGCUUGAGCUCAGGAGUUUGAGACCAGCUUGGCAACAUGGCAAAACCAUAUCUCUACAAAAAAUACACACACACACACACAAAAAUUAGCCAGAUGUGGUGGUGUGUGUCUGUAGUCCCAGCUACUUCAGAGGCUGAGGUGGGAGGAUGGCUUGAGCUCAGGAGGCAGAGGUUGCAGUGAACCACUGCAGUCCAGCCUAGACGACACAGUCAGACCCCGUCUCAAUUUAAAAAAACAAAAAAAAACUGGAAAGUGACAGAACUGGAAUUCAAACAGGGGUCUCACUCCACAUUUAACAAUGUUGUAAGAAGUGAAAUGUUCUGCCCUGGAAAAUACCGUUAGAAAAGGGAAAAUACAGAGAUUCCUUAAUCUGGUGUUCACAAUAACCUUUAUUAGUUUACCAGUCAUUCUUAAUCUUUUCAUUUUCAAGUCUCAGAAAUAUAUGAAAAAUUUUGAUCCAUUUUGAACUUAAUGAAUAUUAACAAGUUUUAAUGUUUACCAUUCAUAUUAAGAAACUCAUUUUCAUUGUUUUAAAAGUUUGUAUAUUUUCACAUACAAAUGGAAAAACACAUUUAAUCAUUAAGACAAUGGUUAAAGAGUGGGCUUUUCCAAUUAAUGAGUUUAGUUGUCAUGUAUAUCAUACAUGAAUGACCAAUUUUCAAAGAAUUUCAAAUAAAAGUACCAUAGACUACAAAAAAUACAUAAAACUACACUAUUAUAAAUCUAUCAGCUUUUGUCAGAAGACACUUAGGAAUCUUCCUAAGUUUUAAAGCAGAAGUUUCCAAAUGCCCAUCUCAAUUUAAGGCCCUAUGAGGAUCUGUGGCAAAAUGAGAAAAAUAAGAUGAAAUACACAGACUUGUUGAAAUAUACAUGCUUGUUAUUAAGUUUGCUAACAUUUUUCUUCCUGAAAUUAUGGCUCUUCUAUUUUGUAAUAUCCUCCAUUCCUUGCUCAUAUCCCAUUAAGACAUAUUUCCCAGUUAAUUUCAAACUACCGAUUAAUUUGUAUAAAGUAAAUAUUCUUUUUUUUUUUGAGACGGAGUCUCGCUCUGUCACCCAGGCUGGAGUGCAGUGGCGCGAUCUCAGCUCACUGCCAGCUCCGCCUCCCGGGUUCACGCCAUUCUCCUGCCUCAGCCUCCCGAGUAGGUGGGACUACAGGUGCCCACCACCACGCCCGGCUAAUUUUUGUGUGUGUGUGUGUUUUUAGUAGAGACUGGGUUUCACCGUGUUAGCCAGGAUGGUCUCAAUUUCCUGA
rnacentral:lncRNA from 1 species